UUCCAAUGCCUCCACUGCUCACCAUGAAUAUAGCCACUAAAAUCUGUAUAAAACUUUCCUAAUGAAAUCUCAGGGAAACUGCUGGUCCGUUUGGGAUUUCAACACUAAUUAAAUGAGGAAGUUCUCAGUCAUGAUUGGACCCAGCUUCUUUGCACAAACUGUUAUAGAAGCUGAAGGCAGGACACAGCUUUGAGUGAAUGGCCAAGGAAACAAAAAAAAAAACCUCAGCAGAAUCCAGUUACCAGAUUCCUUCAGCUUCUCUCUGUUCAGAGGGCAUGUGGACACCACAGACAUACAGCAUGGCUGCACAAAAUCACUGUGAGGCUGAAGUGUUACAGUGUCCAUGAACUUCUUCCCAGUGGGCUUGACUGAGGGCAGAGCAAUGGCUCAGAGAAUGCUACGCUUUUGUGCUCAGAGAGCAAGGAGCAGAUUGGGAAAGUUUGAUGUCUACUCCCAUUCUCACAAUACAGGCUACAGCUCAUGGGCCAACACUGACAUCCUGUUUUCAGGUGACUUAUUUACUGGAAAUUCCAUUUAUGCAGAUGGCUGGCAGCCUGGUCUAACCUAUAACAUGUUGGAAACACAGCCUGCAAGUGUUAGCAGUGGCAGCAGUCUGUCUUCAUAGGAGAAGUUCUCCAGCCCGCUUAUCAUCGUUGUGGCUCUCCUCUGGACUUGUUUCCCCAGGUUCACAUCCCUCCUAUGCUGAGAUCCCCAGAGCUGGGCACAGCACCCCAGGUGGGGACUCAUGAGAGUGGAGAAGAGGAAGUGCCCUGCGGGCCAUGCUGAUUUUGAUGCAGCGCAGGCCACAUUUGUCUUUCCGGUCUGCAAGGGCACAUUGACAGUUCAUGCUGAGCUUCUUCUCUACCAGUACUCCUAUGUUUUUCUCCUCAAAGCUGCUCUUGAUCCACUCUCUGCUCAGCCUGUACUUGUGCUUGGGAUUUCCCCAACCCAGGUGCAGGACCCGCUCUGGGUGUUGUUGAACUCCAUGAGGUUUGGUCAGUCCCCUCUCUCAAGCCUGUCAAGGUCCCUCAAGAUGACAUCCCUUCCCUUCUCUCCAGCGAAAGGACUGUGCCACAGGGCUUGGUGCUGUCAGUGAGCCCACUGAGGGUACAAGAAAUCCCACUGUCCAUGUCACCAGCAAAGAUGGCAAACAGCGCUGGUCCCAACCCUGACCCCUGAGGACCACAGCCCACCACAGCCCCUGGAAAAAGCGUUAAAAACAUGGUGUCUGAGGCACUGCAGCCAUCUGCCACCUCCUGACAUGGGACCUCCAUGAGUUCUAGCUCUUGAUCCAGAGAAUACCACCAGCUGCCUUUCUCCAUGGAGCUCCAGCUGCCAGAGACAUAAGGAAACAAGGGACAGGGGAGGUUGACAC